AUGGUAUUCUCCCUCCGACAGUUGCAGGAGAAAUGCAGGGAACAACAACAGCCACUCUUAGUGGCCUUCAUAGACCUUACAAAAGCAUUUGACUUGGUUAGCAGGGAUGGCCUUUUCAAAAUACUUCCCAAGAUUGGAUGUCCACCUCGUCUCCUUAACAUCAUCAGGUCCUUCCACGAUGGAAUGAAAGGCACUGUAGUUUUUGACGGCUCAACAUCAGAUCCCUUUGACAUCCGAAGCGGAGUGAAACAGGGCUGUGUCCUCGCACCAACACUUUUUGGGAUCUUUUUUGCUGUCAUGCUGAAGCAUGCCUUUGGAACUGCAACAGAAGGUGUCUAUCUCCGGACUAGAUCAGAUGGAAAGCUCUUUAAUCUCUCUAGAUUGAGAGCAAAGACCAAAGUCCAGCUGAAAUGCAUGAGGGACUUCCUCUUUGCAGACGAUGCAGCCAUUGUUGCCCACUCUGCUGAAGACCUCCAACAACUCAUGAACCGUUUCAGCAAGGCCUGCCAAGACUUUGGACUAACAAUCAGCCUGAAGAAAACACAAGUCAUGGGCCAGGGUGUGGACUCACCUCCCUCUAUUACCAUCUCCACACAAGAAUUGGAGGUUGUUCAUGACUUUGUGUACCUUGGCUCAACCAUCUCUGACACCCUCUCUCUAGAUGUCGAGCUGGAUAAACGCAUUGGGAAAGCAGCCACCAUGUUCUCUAGACUCACAAAGAGAGUAUGGCUCAAUAAGAAACUGACAACACAUACCAAGAUCCAGGUCUAUAGAGCCUGUGUCCUGAGCACACUCCUGUACUGCAGCGAGUCCUGGACACUUUGUGCCCGGCAGGAGAGGAAGCUGAACACCUUCCAUAUGCGUUGCCUACGACGGAUUUUUGGUAUCACCUGGCAGGACAGAGUUCCAAAUAGAGUAGUCCUAGAACGAGCUGGAAUUUUCAGCAUGCAUACAUUACUGAAACAGCGACGUCUACGCUGGCUUGGGCACGUUGUGAGAAUGGCUGAUGGUCGGAUUCCAAAGGAUCUCCUAUAUGGAGAAUUAGUGCAGGGAAAUCGCCCCAGAGGGAGACCACAGCUGCGAUACAAGGACAUCUGCAAGCGGGAUCUGAAGGCCUUAGGAAUAGACCUCAACAGAUGGGAAACUCUGACAUCUGAUCGUUCAGCCUGGAGGCAGGCAGUACAUCACGGCCUCUCCCAAUUUGAAGAGACCCUUGUCCAGCAGGCUGAGGCAAAGAGGAAGUCACAAAGGAAGCAAAACCAGGGAGCUGGACAGGGGACAGAUUGGAUUUGUCUCCAGUGUGGAAGGGAUUGUCACUCUCGAAUUGGCCUCCUCAGCCACACUAGACGCUGUUCCAAGUCCUCCAUACAGAGCACGAUACCAUAG
ensembl:lncRNA